CAAAAGCGUAUAUUAAAGUUGUUGCAGUUAAGAAGCUCGUAGUUGAACCUUGGGCUUGGCUGGCCGGUCCAUCUUUUUUGAUGCGUACUGGACCCAGCCGAGCCUUUCCUUCUGGCUAGCCUUUUGGCGAACCAGGACUUUUACUUUGAAAAAAUUAGAGUGUUCAAAGCAGGCCUUUGCUCGAAUAUAUUAGCAUGGAAUAAUAGAAUAGGACGUUAUGGUUCUAUUUUGUUGGUUUCUAGGACCAUCGUAAUGAUUAAUAGGGACGGUCGGGGGUAUCAGUAUUCAGUUGUCAGAGGUGAAAUUCUUGGAUUUACUGAAGACUAACUACUGCGAAAGCAUUUACCAAGGACGUUUUCAUUAA
rnacentral:rRNA from 1 species